AGUUAAUGAGCUUGAAAAGCAUAUGUUUUGAAAACAUAAAAUAGAAAUAAUAACUUUCUAUUAACUU
rnacentral:tRNA from 1 species